GGGGGGCGAACCAGGGAAUUAGAUUACCCCUGGUAGUUCCAGCGCCCGGUAAAAACGUAGGAGGGCUACAGGUGGUAGGAGGGGUUUCCGCCCCUUUAGGGGCCGCCACCAAAAGCGCCAUUAAAGCAAUUCCGCCUUGGGGAGUAACGGGUCGGCAGGAAUUUGAAACUUCAAAGGAAAUUUGACGGGGGGGCCCGCCACAAGGCGGUUGGAAGCAUGGGGUUUAAAUUUGAAAGGCAACGGGGAGAAACCCUUACCCAGGUUCUUGACAUCCCUUUGAAAAACCCUAAGAGAUAGGGCUUUCCCCUUCGGGGGGCAGAGUGACAGGUGGUGCAUGGUUGUCGUCAGCUCGUGUCGUGAGAUGUUGGGUUAAGUCCCGCAACGAGCGCAACCCUUGAUCUUAGUUGCCAGCAUUCAGUUGGGCACUCUAAGGUGACUGCCGGUGACAAACCGGAGGAAGGUGGGGAUGACGUCAAAUCAUCAUGCCCCUUAUGACCUGGGCUACACACGUGCUACAAUGGGCAGAACAAAGGGCAGCGAAGCCGCGAGGCUAAGCCAAUCCCACAAAUCUGUUCUCAGUUCGGAUCGCAGUCUGCAACUCGACUGCGUGAAGCUGGAAUCGCUAGUAAUCGCGGAUCAGCAUGCCGCGGUGAAUACGUUCCCGGGCCUUGUACACACCGCCCGUCACACCACGAGAGUUUGUAACACCCGAAGUCGGUGAGGUAACCUUUUGAGCCAGCCGCAGAAGU
rnacentral:rRNA from 1 species